rnacentral:rRNA from 1 species
UGCAAGUCGAGCGGUAACAGAAAGUAGCUUGCUACUUUGCUGACGAGCGGCGGACGGGUGAGUAAUGCUUGGGAACAUGCCUUGAGGUGGGGGACAACAGUUGGAAACGACUGCUAAUACCGCAUAAUGUCUACGGACCAAAGGGGGCUUCGGCUCUCGCCUUUAGAUUGGCCCAAGUGGGAUUAGCUAGUUGGUGAGGUAAUGGCUCACCAAGGCAACGAUCCCUAGCUGGUUUGAGAGGAUGAUCAGCCACACUGGGACUGAGACACGGCCCAGACUCCUACGGGAGGCAGCAGUGGGGAAUAUUGCACAAUGGGCGCAAGCCUGAUGCAGCCAUGCCGCGUGUGUGAAGAAGGCCUUCGGGUUGUAAAGCACUUUCAGUCAGGAGGAAAGGUUAGUAGUUAAUACCUGCUAGCUGUGACGUUACUGACAGAAGAAGCACCGGCUAACUCCGUGCCAGCAGCCGCGGUAAUACGGAGGGUGCGAGCGUUAAUCGGAAUUACUGGGCGUAAAGCGUACGCAGGCGGUUUGUUAAGCGAGAUGUGAAAGCCCCGGGCUCAACCUGGGAACUGCAUUUCGAACUGGCAAACUAGAGUGUGAUAGAGGGUGGUAGAAUUUCAGGUGUAGCGGUGAAAUGCGUAGAGAUCUGAAGGAAUACCGAUGGCGAAAGGCAGCCACCUGGGUCAACACUGACGCUCAUGUACGAAAGCGUGGGGAG